GAACGGGUGAGUAACACGUGGGUGAUCUGCCCUGCACUCUGGAUAAGCCUGGGAAACUGGGUCUAAUACCGGAUAGGACCACACACUUCAUGGUGAGUGGUGCAAAGCUUUUGCGGUGUGGGAUGAGCCCGCGGCCUAUCAGCUUGUUGGUGGGGUAAUGGCCCACCAAGGCGACGACGGGUAGCCGGCCUGAGAGGGUGACCGGCCACACUGGGACUGAGAUACGGCCCAGACUCCUACGGGAGGCAGCAGUGGGGAAUAUUGCACAAUGGGCGCAAGCCUGAUGCAGCGACGCCGCGUGAGGGAUGACGGCCUUCGGGUUGUAAACCUCUUUCAGUAGGGACGAAGCGAAAGUGACGGUACCUACAGAAGAAGGACCGGCCAACUACGUGCCAGCAGCCGCGGUAAUACGUAGGGUCCGAGCGUUGUCCGGAAUUACUGGGCGUAAAGAGCUCGUAGGUGGUUUGUCGCGUUGUUCGUGAAAACUCACAGCUUAACUGUGGGCGUGCGGGCGAUACGGGCAGACUAGAGUACUGCAGGGGAGACUGGAAUUCCUGGUGUAGCGGUGGAAUGCGCAGAUAUCAGGAGGAACACCGGUGGCGAAGGCGGGUCUCUGGGCAGUAACUGACGCUGAGGAGCGAAAGCGUGGGUAGCGAACAGGAUUAGAUACCCUGGUAGUCCACGCCGUANACGGUGGGUACUAGGUGUGGGUUUCCUUCCUUGGGAUCCGUGCCGUAGCUAACGCAUUAAGUACCCCGCCUGGGGAGUACGGUCGCAAGAC
rnacentral:rRNA from 1 species